rnacentral:rRNA from 1 species
UACGUAGGGGGCAAGCGUUGUCCGGAUUUAUUGGGCGUAAAGAGCGUGUAGGCGGCCUUACAGGUCAGCUGUGAAAACUCGAGGCUCAACCUCGAGAGGUCGGUUGAAACCGUAAGGCUAGAGUCCGGAAGAGGAGAGUGGAAUUCCCGGUGUAGCGGUGAAAUGCGCAGAUAUCGGGAAGAACACCCGUGGCGAAGGCGACUUCCUGGCCUGUUCUUGACGCUGAGGCGCGAAAGCUAGGGUAGCAAACGGG